AAUAUCCUCUACAAUGACAGAUUCAGAGGGAGGAACGACCUUGAAGAGUUCCGGCCUUGUGCAUGUAGUUUCGAUCGGAUAUCUUGGAAUCAAAUGAGAGCAUGAGAAAUGAUAGAUCCAAGAAAGACUUCGUCUCAGGCAAUCCAAUCUAAAAGUAGACACCGAAUGAUCGUAGGAUUCAGAUCUAAUCCAUUUGAUACAUUGAAGGAAGCAACCCUUGAAGCUGAUGUCAAAGAGAAUAAAACUUCCAUGGAUCCCUUUACCUGAUCUGCAGAAGAGUGCCUAGCCAUCCUGAUUCGCGGAGCUAUGAGGAGCAGGCGAAGAGAUCGUCUGUUGUGGGACAAUAGGCACAGGUUCGUUAGUAGUCAAGGGUUCCUGUGGAUCAUCAAUCCUUUGUUUAACUUGCUUGAAGUACGCAUAUUCAAAUUGGUUGUAAGUUCAUGGGAUCCUUCCCCAGUGAGUUAACUUAAUGGAUGGGCUCAAGACAAAUAUGGAGUGGGUUUUUGAGUUCACACCUAUUGGGCCAGAGGCAUUUAUUGGACCAAGAAGUAUGAGUCCAAUGGAAGUUAGUUAGGAAUAAAGGCAAGAAGAGAAGUGGAGGACGUGAAGAAUAUUGUUGAGCAUUCACUUGCUUUACUCUUCCUCUGUUAUGUUUCUUCUUUCUCCUUCCCUCCUUUCUGCUGCAAUUUCAGUUACUUUGGUGUCAGUGUUAGUUCAUUAUCAUAGUUUGUUUUGAUGAUCUGAAACUUGUUGAUGUACUAAGCUUAUGGAUUAUUGAACAUUAAAACGUGAAUACCUCAGUUUUAUCUCUUAA